AACCGAACAAGAACAGUCAACUAGUCAGGUUUGAAAGCGUAAAAUUUUAAAAUUUCAAGAAGCUGAGAGUCAAAGAAUGCUAAAAGGACGAGCCAGAAGAAGUUACAUUUUUUCUACAAAGAUUGACGCCAGAAUCUAGAGGAUCAUGGGAUUUCGAAGCGUCAAGGACGAUUUUCUUCUCCCAUCCACGUGACCUAGCACUUCCGCCUUCAAUCUUUGCCUCCACUAACGGAGUGGAUAUUUUGACGUACUGCUGGGCUGUGUUGGUUAAGGGAACCUCGGACAGUGUGACUGUAAGCUGUAUCAGGUAGUAGCCUGGCUUUAGUGUGUGCUUKGGAACGGUGAUGGAGGACUGGUUCUGAAUCACGUGACCUGGUAGACUAGUAUGACCAUAGAUUUCAAGACCAAGAACCAUUGCAUCACGYGUGAACAUCGAAGAAGGAAGCAAGAAAACUCCUGAGGAGUACAUUGCGAAUAUGUUUGGUACAAUCCACUGUGGAACGGAUGGACCAACGCCAAGUUUCGAUGUAGAAGAAGGCCGACAAUUAUAUAAGGUAAAUGGAAACACGUUUGUCCAUGUCAUUGAAGAGGAUACCUAGUAAAAGGGCAUUUGUAUAAUGCACCUUGUCUUUUUGAAUUAGAAGAUUUUCUCCCUUGCUGUGAUUCAAACCGAACCUAGUUGGCAGCAUGUUAAAUUGCAAAAGAAAAAAAGAAGUCAGUUGAAACUCACUGUGAUUAUUUUGAAACCUAUAAGUAAAAUGCUUUAUUUUUAGUGCAAACCUUUUGACUCGUGUAAACAGGAAAAGUUAAGAAAGUGGAUUUAUUCAGCUCUACAAAAUGCAUGAAUUAUGAGGCCAAAAAUUCUCUUUUUUGUAUUCAUUAAACAUUCAACAUAAAAAUAGUUUCUCCUGGCCGUGAAAGCUGAUUUCCGUGAUUCGUUGACAUGCUUUAUGGCAAUGAAAACGAGCUGCAACAUCUGUGGGAACAAAGCUAAUAUCUAACCACUGGCUUUCCAAAUCUUGUGUUUUUACUAAAAAUUAAAAUAAAAACUAAACUAGUUUAGU